AGUGAACGCUGGCGGUAGGCCUAACACAUGCAAGUCGAACGGCAGCACAGUAAGAGCUUGCUCUUACGGGUGGCGAGUGGCGGACGGGUGGGGAAUACAUCGGAAUCUACUUUUUCGUGGGGGAUAACGUAGGGAAACUUACGCUAAUACCGCAUACGACCUACGGGUGAAAGCAGGGGAUCUUCGGACCUUGCGCGAUUGAAUGAGCCGAUGUCGGAUUAGCUAGUUGGCGGGGUAAAGGCCCACCAAGGCGACGAUCCGUAGCUGGUCUGAGAGGAUAAUCAGCCACACUGGAACUGAGACACGGUCCAGACUCCUACGGGAGGCAGCAGUGGGGAAUAUUGGACAAUGGGCGCAAGCCUGAUCCAGCCAUACCGCGUGGGUGAAGAAGGCCUUCGGGUUGUAAAGCCCUUUUGUUGGGAAAGAAAAGCAGCAGGUUAAUACCCCGCUGUUCUGACGGUACCCAAAGAAUAAGCACCGGCUAACUUCGUG
rnacentral:rRNA from 1 species